rnacentral:lncRNA from 1 species
CUUCUAAUUUUAUUGUUUGUUUCUUAAAUAUAGAGAGUUAAGAUGGGGCUAUAAGGAAUUUGCAAAAAUCAAGCGUAGUUUGCUUUUAAUUUAGGAUAUCUUGUGAUAGAUCGAUGAGUCUUCAUUACUUUGUGAGAAAAGUAGUGAAUUUUUUUGCUGCCGGAUUGAUCUGUUUUGUUAGAGUUGUGUUUGUGAUGUGUUAAGGCUGUGUGAAUUUUUUAGAUAUUAGUA